UACGUAGGUGGCAAGCGUUUGUCCGGAUUUACUGGGCGUAAAGAGCUCGUAGGCGGUGUGUCACGUCGUUCGUGAAAACCUGCAGCUUAACUGUGGGCGUGCGGUCGAUACGGGCAUCACUGGAGUUCGGCAGGGGAGACUGGAAUUCCUGGUGUAGCGGUGAAAUGCGCAGAUAUCAGGAGGAACACCGGUGGCGAAGGCGGGUCUCUGGGCCGAUAUCGACGUGGAGGAGCGAAAGCGUGGGGAGCGAACAGG
rnacentral:rRNA from 1 species